GACAAACGCUGGCGGCGUGCCUAAUGCAUGCAAGUCGAACGGACCCCUUCGGGGGUCAGUGGCGAACGGGUGCGUAACGCGUGGGAACCUACCGUCGGGUGGGGCAUACCCCGCCGAAAGGCGGGCUAAUUCCGCAUACGUUCCCCGGUCGGGAGACCGGGGAAGAAAGCCUUCCGGCGCCCGACGAGGGGCCUGCGUCCGAUUAGCUCGUUGGUAGGGUAACGGCCUACCAAGGCGAUGAUCGGUAGCCGGACUGAGAGGUCGGCCGGCCACACUG
rnacentral:rRNA from 1 species